rnacentral:snRNA from 1 species
AUACUUACCUGGACGGGUUCUACGGGUGUUCAAGAAGAUCCGUGGCCUAGGCUAGUGACUUCCAUUGCACUUUGGGAGUUUGCUUCAUUAUUUGUUGCUUUGGGGACCUGCGUUUGAGCGGCCCCUUC